rnacentral:rRNA from 1 species
CAUGUCUUUUUGAUAAUAAUUUAAGGUUUGAUCUGCUCAAUGAUUAAUUAAAUUGCCGCAGUAUUUUGACUGUGCUAAGGUAGCAUAAUCAUUAGCUUCUUGAUUAGGAGCUGGAAUGAAUGAUUGGACGAGAGAUUUUCUGUCUCUUUUUAAUGGUGUUUUUAAUUUUAUUUUUAAGUGAAAAAGCUUAAGUUUUAUUAAAAGACGAGAAGACCCUAUAGAGUUUAAUAUUUUUUUAUUAUGAUUUUUAGUAAUUUGUUUAAUGUUUAAAUAUUUAGUUGGGGUGACUUGGAGAUAUAAAUAAUUCUUUAAAUUUUAUGUUGAUGAUAGUUAAUUUUAAAUUUUAAUUUUUUUAGGUUUAAUUAAAUUACCUUAGGGAUAACAGCGUAAUUUUUCUUAGAAGUUCUUAUUUAAAGGAAAGUUUGCGACCUCGAUGUUGGAUUAAAAUUUAUUUUAGGCGUAGUAGCUUAUAAAUUAGGUCUGUUCGC